rnacentral:lncRNA from 1 species
UAGCAUGCGCCGAGUGAUAUGAUGAAUCUUUCUUUUAAAAAAGGUUUUCAACUUGUGAUAAAUUCAAAAUUCCUUCUAAAUAGGUCUAAUUGAUUGUUUUCUAAUUUCCCUUAAGUUAAAACAUUUUCCAUCUUUUUGACUCGGUUCAUUCAUAACAAAUCUCUAACCUCUGAUUCCUUGGUUGUUAAUUGAUUUUCUUUCUACAACUGUGUAUUUCAAAAGUCCUAUCCUUAAAUAACCUUUAUGUAUUUGCUCCUAAUUGCAUGCUUUACACAAAGGGUUUAUUCAAUUCCUUUCCUUAAAUGGUUUUACCCGUUUGAAUCUGAAUCCCUUAAUUAAGAGAAGUCUUGUGUAAUUUAUUGACAAUCAGUUUUCAAACUAUUUUCUUACCUUAUUUAUGCCUGCUUUCUGCACUAUAAAAUCCCUUAAUUAAGGGAAGCCUUGUGUUAUCGAUUGAGAAUCAAUUUUCAAACUAUUUUUCUUACCUUAUUUUUGCCUGCUUUCUGCAUUAUAAAAGGCACGACCCUUUUUCACAAAGACAGACUUCGGACUUCACAAUUUCACAAUCUCUUCUGAACUCACACUUAUAGUAUUCGGUCUUCCUGUUUGCACUUUGUCUUUUACAAGUCUACUGCUUUUUCUACUUGUUUCUUUGAAACUGGUAUGUCCUAAUUUAAGUUACAGCAUCACCCCAAUAUGUUUACUUACAAUAUUUGUAUCCAUGUCUACUUUAUUGUUUUCUGUAGAUUUCACAUUCAGCUUAGUAUGCCUAUGUUCUACUGCUUGUUUCUGUUGUGAUGGCUCCCUAUCUCAUUACCCUUAUGUGUUUGUGAGUGGUGACUUAGGGCAUGGCAAAUGUGUUGUUGUCCGUGAACUGAGUCUUGCAAACUCCCCAUUCCGUAUAUCCCUAUGUGUUCCCCUUUUCCCCUUUAGGAAUUCUGCACUUGCACUCUUUCUCUUAGUUCCUAAGUUCUGCCCCCUCUUGUGGGCCUUGCCUUGGGACCUUGACUUCCCUCUGAACAUGGACACCUGAGGGCUAGCCCUUCCACACUACACUUUUGCUUAAUAUGGUGAUACAUUUAGGUGUAAUCACUGCCCGAAGUUCUUAUGAAACUCUUAGGGAACUCUGACACACCCAAGUGGUAGAAAGGCUUUCAAACAUGAUCUUUGGAGUCGGUUUACUUUAUACUUCAGA